GAGUUUGAUCGUGGCUCAGGACGAACGCCGGCGGCGUGCUUAAUACAUGCAAGUCGAACGAGAAUCUACUGAAAGAGUUUUCGGACAAUGGAAGUAGAGGAAAGUGGCGGACGGGUGAGUAACGCGUGAGGAACCUGCCUUGAAGAGGGGACAACAGUUGGAACGACUGCUAAUACCGCAUGAUGCAUAAGGGUCGCAUGAUUCUUAUGCCAAAGAUUUAUCGCUUCAAGAUGGCCUCGCGUCUGAUUAGCUAGUUGGCGGGGUAACGGGCCCACCAAGGCGACGAUCAGUAGCCGGACUGAGAGGUUGAACGGCCACAUUGGGACUGAGAUACGGCCCAGACUCCUACGGGAGGCAGCAGUGGGGAAUAUUGGGCAAUGGGCGCAAGCCUGACCCAGCAACGCCGCGUGAAGGAAGAAGGCUUUCGGUAUGUAAACUUCUAUCAGCAGGGAAGAAAUAGACGGUACCGUGACUAAGAAGCCCCGGCUAACUACGUGCCAGCAGCCGCA
rnacentral:rRNA from 1 species